UACAGAGACUGCAAGCGUUAUUCGGAUUCACUGGGCGUAAAGCGUGCGCAGGCGGUUCGUUAAGUCAGCUGUGAAAGCCCCGGGCUUAACCUGGGAAUGGCGGUUGAAACUGGCGAACUUGAAUCUGGCAGAGGGGGGUGGAAUUCCACGUGUAGCAGUGAAAUGCGUAGAGAUGUGGAGGAACACCGAUGGCGAAGGCAGCCCCCUGGGCUGAGAUUGACGCUCAGGCACGAAAGCGUGGGGAGCAAACAGG
rnacentral:rRNA from 1 species